rnacentral:rRNA from 1 species
AUGCAAUGCAAGGUUCAUUUUCCUCUUAAGCAUUCACACGGAAAGAAUAGAGCUACUCCGUUCACAUUCUGCGUCGGUGUCAGAACAUGUUAUACUAAUUAUUUAGGGGGAAAAAAGCAGAUACUCGUCAUGGGUUAUGAAGUAGACAGAGUACACAAGAUGCCUACCAUGGUCUAUGAAGUACAGGCAAAAAGGUGCCACUUGCCGUCGGCGCUCUCUUGUCAUGACGAACAGGCCAAGCAACGAGACUACGUGAGAAGGGUCAGCAUUAGCGGGAGCAGGGUAUGGAUGGGUAAGGAGCAGCAGUAUCUUCACUGCUGCUGCUGA